GGAAAUGUUUAUGGAUAUGAAAAGUGUAUAGAAUAAAAAAAAUUACAAAAUUUAAUUCAUUUGCAUUCAAUGUCAGCCGUUUGAUUGUCAAAAUUUUUUAGGUACUCGCAAUCUUUUUGCUUUUUAUCAAUUCCCAGGCAACGAUGACUACAUUAAAAAAAAAUUUUAGGUCUAAGAAGGUUCCCAAUCCAUGCACACGUCACUUUGAUAUCACAAAGCUAAUACCUAAGCCCCGGAAAAACUUCCGGAAUCCCGAAACCACCAAAGGACCCGCAUCAGUGAAAUCGCCCAUAGCCAAAUCUUACAUAGACCCAAGAGUCCGUGGAUAUGUCAGAGCGCCAGCCGAAUGGCGGCCGGUCGAUAGUGGCUAUAUGCCAGACGAUCGAGGCAGUCCCUACUUGCUGCUCUCCGAGGACGAGGACGACUUUUCGCAGGUGAAUGAAAAUGCAAAGAAGCUACGAGCACCUACCUGUCACAAUGUGUUGCAUGAACCGCGGCUGAAACUGGAUGCGCCCGAUGUGAAGCGCCUGGUGCGCGGCAUACGGCUCAGCAUUUGUGUCGAGCACACCCACUUUCCACUGAUUGCCAAGGUAUCGAAGGGUCUGGGCCUCACCCACGUGCCAGAGCAUCGCCUGUGGAAUGUUCAAUGGUGCGAUAAUACGCCCCAUUUCGAUCUACUGAAGAGUAUGAAGCGAUUUCAGCAAAUCAACCAUUUCCCCGGCAUGAUGGAAAUCUGCCGCAAGGAUCUACUAUCGCGUAAUCUGAAUCGCAUGCUCAAAAUGUAUCCAGGCGACUAUCGCAUAUUUCCCAAGACCUGGCUACUGCCCACAGACACCUACGAUGUGGCUGUCUAUGCUAGCAAGCACAAGCGCACGUUUAUACUCAAACCCUACUCAUCGGGGCAGGGGCGUGGUAUUUGGCUAACCAACAAUCUGCGCACGGUGGGCAGACAGGAGAAACUGAUCUGCCAGACGUACAUUGAAAAGCCCCUCCUCAUCGAUGGCUUUAAGUUUGAUUUGCGUGUUUAUACGCUGGUCACUUCAGUGGAUCCGCUCCGCAUCUUUGUCUACAACGAGGGCCUGGCUCGUUUUGCAACCCAUAAAUACAAGCCGCCGGCGUUGGGCAACAGCAACAAUAUGUUCAUGCACCUGACCAACUAUUGUGUGAAUCGCCGCAGCUGCAACUAUGAUGCAGGCACUGGCAAUGACAAGGGCUCCAAACGGAAAUUGAGUGCAUAUAACAAGUGGCUCGCCGAUCACCAUUACAAUGUGGAUGAGUUCUGGGCGACGGUGGACGAUGCGAUCAUCAAGACCGUGAUCAGCGCUUGGCCAGUGCUGAAGCACAAUUAUCACAUCUGCUUCCCGAAGCACGAUAAGAUACAGGCCUGCUUUCAGCUAUUGGGCUUCGACAUACUCGUCGAUUGGAAGCUUAAGCCGUACAUUCUGGAGGUGAAUCAUACGCCCAGUUUGGCGGGCGGAGAGCCGGUUGACUUCGAAGUAAAGCGUCCACUGAUACGCGACACUUUGAACCUGAUCAGCAUGCCCCUGGUCGACAAGGAGGAGAUCAUCCGCGAGGAUCGUGCGCUGCUUCGUGAUCGUCUGAUGAGGCAGAUGCAUCGACGCCGUGUGGUCACUCCGCCCAAGGACGGGUCAGGACAGCGACCAGCCGGUGGCGCCGACGAGAAUCCAGUGUGCUCUCUGGGCGCUCUGGCCCAGCAAAUUGCCUGGGAGGAAAGCCAUUUGGGCAACUACAGGCGCAUAAUGCCGCCCACCGACACUAAUCGGGUCAGUUACUACUUCAAGUUCUACAAUCAAUACAAGGAUAUACCCAUGUUCAAGGACAACACAGCCAGCACUAGUCGCCAUCAAGUCACUCGUGAGCAUUUGAGGCAGGAGCAUCUCCAAAGCCAAUUGCAGGACGAGCACUGUCAGCUGAAUGAGCAGCUGCAGCUCCGCAACGACAAUCGGAUACCUCUUCUGAACAAGCAACUGCUCAAAGAGAAACGCAUGCAAACACUGGCCAUAAUCAAGGACAUACAGCUGCAGAAGGCCAAGAUGUUGAAGCGGACGGAGGGUAAAGAGAAGGUGGGCUUAUGGCAGAUGCUCAAUACGCCGGAACGGACGGAGGUCAAGAGGCGCAAGCAUCGAGAGAACUCUAGGAAAUCCUCGAGGCAGCCAUCGAGGGACUCCUCGACGCAGUCCUCAAGGAGAUCCCCGAGGCCGUCCUCGAGGCAUUCUUCGAGGCAGUUCAGAAGAAAACCAACGGAUUCAAACGAAUCAACCGAUACAAGCGAGCUCAAACGUCGCAAAGCUUUGCCUGAGAUCUCGCCCAGCCGCAUCAAACGCAUCCACGUGCCCAACGCCAAGUCAAGCCGACGCGCCAAGCAUCGCAAACUGCAGCAACGAAUCAAACGAUCGCGUCGCCUGGAGCGUGAGUCCCGCCUCGACGCCGAGUUCCUGGCCAAGCAUAGCAUUGUGGCUACUGCGCGCCUGCUGGCGGGCAGCUCCAAGCCUCAAACCUCCGCCACCUCGCAAAUGUGCAGUAAUGUUGUGCAAAUGCCAUGCCAACUAACCGAGUUUGAGUCCAAGCUGAAUGCCUUUAACCAAGUCGAGCUACAGUCCUACCAGGAGCUCACAUUCAGCAAGUACAGCGAUCAAAAUGUUGACUGGCUGCCCGAACCCAUCGACGAAUCGGACAAUCAGCAGCACUUUGAGUGGCGAUCAGAGCGCGAAAUGGCUGUCAAGAACAGCAUGUUUAAGGAGGUGCUGUUCCAUGAAAUGUACGAGCGCGGUGAUCUAACCAAAAAUGAUAUUAGACUAUUUCCAAAUCUUCUGUAUUCAAUACUGCGCCAUCAAAUGAACAAUAAAAAUAUUUAUAAUUCAUAUAACAAAUAUAAUAAUAAUACUGAUAAGGAAAAGGCUAAGGAAAGUAUGUUGGUGACAAUGAAUUGAAUGAAGAAUAUUUGAAAUUGAAAUUGCAUUUGAAUGAGACAUAUCCGAAACACAGAGGGAGACAGUGAGAGACAGAGAGAGUUGAUCUGCAUUGAAAAGUAAUUUCCGAAUCUUCUUUAUCGCAUAAAUCUGAACGCCAUCAUCAUCAUCAGCAUCACCAACGAGCAAGUACAGUUACUACUAUGUGGGAAAACCCGAAACGUACCUCGUCGUUAUUGAAACCUUCAAAGACCAUAGUCUUUUAAAUAAACUUAAAUUUUAAGUGUAAGUUUGCCGCAAAAAUUCGAAAUUGUAACAUAAAAUAUGGAUUUAAACCCAAAAAAAAAAUCUGUCACGAAAACAAAAACCAACAUGAAAAUCUUUCAUUUUCAUGUGCUUCUCUUCUGGAGACUCAACUAGCAUUUCGGAAGAUAUCAGAGUACAGAAUAUUUUGGUAUAUACAUAAAUCAAAUUAAUUGUGUCGUAUUAACUAAAGCAGCGCAAAUGUGACGCCCGAUGAAAUCGAAAUUAGUGACAUCUCUGAGUGCCCGAAACGAAGCAAAUAAUUGUAAAUGAAACCCCAAGCAAUAAACUACAAUUCAUGUAUACACAAAGGCAUUCAAUAGUUAUGUUAAGCAUCGAAAGCAUUAAAUUUAUAUAAGCAAAAUUAUAAAUAAACAGAU
rnacentral:misc_RNA from 1 species